rnacentral:rRNA from 1 species
CACGUAGGGAGCAAGCGUUGUCCGGAUUUAUUGGGCGUAAAGAGCUCGUAGGCUGUUCGAUAAGUCGGGUGUGAAACCUCCAGGCUCAACCUGGAGACGCCACCCGAUACUGUCAUGACUAGAGUCCGGUAGGGGAGCGUGGAAUUCCUGGUGUAGCGGUGAAAUGCGUAGAUAUCAGGAGGAACACCUGUGGUGUAGACGGCUCUCUGGACCGCAACUGACGCUGAGACACGAAAGCGUGGGUAGCAAACAGG